GUGUCAGCCGCCGCGGUAAUACGAAGGGUGCAAACGUUGCUCGGAAUCAUUGGGCGUAAAGCGCACGUAGGCGGCUUCGCAAGUCGGAUGUGAAAUACCUAGGCUCAACCAAGGACGUGCAUCCGAAACUGCGAGGCUUGAGUACAGAAGAGGAUCGCGGAAUUCCCGGUGUAGAGGUGAAAUUCGUAGAUAUCGGGAGGAACACCAGUGGCGAAGGCGGCGAUCUGGGCUGAUACUGACGCUGAGGUGCGAAAGCGUGGGGAGCAAACAGGAUUAGAUACCCUCGUAGUCC
rnacentral:rRNA from 1 species